UCGAUGUUAUCUUUAUUAGUGUCCUUUUAUGGUAACUAUCUAGUGACAAAAGAGUUAAUUCACCAGGAAAAUGUAAGAACCAUGAAUACAUACGCAUCCAUCAUUGACACAUCUGAAAAUGCAAACAAAUAUUAAAUAAAUGAGAAGUGAAAGAAAAAUAAGAGGGAAUUUCAAUAUCCCGGUUUCAGCAGUGUAUAGAUUAUGUAUACAGAAAAUUAAUAAGAAAAUGUGGGGUUUGAAUAAUAUUUUAGACUAUGCAGACAUACACAGAAUGGUAGCAACAGAACAGACAUGGUCAAGAACCCAUGAAUCGUUUGCCAGGAUAAUUAUGUUUCGGAACUAAAUGAAACUUACCAAAUUAAAAAAAUUAUCAUGUCAAUUAUCUUUUCUGAUCAUAAUAUUAUGAAACUAAAAAUCAGGAAAAAAACCCUCAAAAGUAUGAGAAAAUUAAGCAACAUGUUCCUGAACAAUAGCAGAUCGAAGACAUCAAAGAGAAAAAUGCAGAAACAUGUAGGGUCCGUUCUAAGAGAAAAGUUAAUGGCAAUGAGUGACCAUGGCUAGAAAAAGGAGUCAUCAAGAAUAAACCACGAGGUUACUCCUGAGGAAAAAGAAAGAAGCAAGCAUGGAGUAGGCGGGGCAUCAUAAAGGCCGAAAUGGAAGUAAAUUAAACACAAGCCAGGGAAAACAAAAAAAGAAAGAUCCACAAAGCAAGAGCUGGUUUUGCAAAAAGACAUCCUUUACAGGUGUCCCUUUAGCUAGUCUGGGUCCUGCCGAGAAGAGAAGCCUGACUCAGAAACGCCUGUAUCUCCAUUUCCGAUGGAUGCGUUCUGCAUUCAGGGACUGAGAUUUGUCCAUAGAAUUUACAGAGUCUGUGUUUCUUUCUCAGUAAUUCUAAUUAUAUAUCCCUGGAGAGCUAUUUUAUGCAAACUUCAAGUACUUCCUGUGUUGUUACUGAGAACCUUACCAUGGAAGAACAUUCACCUUCGCCCUGUGGAAGAUCUGCCUUGUCAGCUAUUUAUCAGUAAUACCCUAUAGAAAAAGAAAAUAAAUCCGCCUUUUAAAAUACACUUUUCACAAAAUUUGCUAAAAGCAUUAAAGUUUCAAGCUUUAAAACGUUAACCAUAAAAUGUACAUAUAUGUCGAAAGUACAUUAAGGAUUUGUGUGCUGUGAUUUUAAUGUUCCUGCUAUUUUAAUAUUUAGGGAUCAAGAAAUACAAGAUGUCAUUAGCCUGGGUGGAAAUCUGACGAAGAAGAAAGGGCUAAAUGUUUGAGGAAACCACAAGGCUAGUUGUCCUCGAUGACAGAAAAUCUUUGGACACUCAGUGACUCUGUAAGCCAGGAAAUCAUCCGGAUCCAUUUUCUAGGAAUACAGCGUGGGCCGGAGUGCGCGACCGCUCUCCCGCUCCUUUGUGAGAAGCACUGCGUCUAGCCAGCAUCGUCUAAGCUCCAUAUUUUCCUACCCCACAGACCAGAAACUUGUUUAUUCUCCAUCCCGUAUAAACAAAGGUCACCAACCAGAGAAGCCACACUUUGAGCCCUCUGUGAGGGAACAGCUGAAGAAAAGCUUGGAGAAGCCAGAGAUUUGGACACUGGGUGGCCUAGAGAACUCGGUGAGAUGAAGGGAACGACCUUGACGAUUCCUCUCAGUUAAGUGGGACGUAAGGGGAAAGGGAAGUAAUUAAAUCCCCAAGUAAAUCCGGGACUCCAAUAGUCCCAAAUACUACAAUUACUGUUCUUGCGAAUCCCAACCUAACUACUGAGGAUAUAGAAGUGUAUUUCAAAAUGGGAGUAAAAUCUGCUGUGGUGUUUCCCAUGGGAACUUUAACUCUGUGGUGGAGAGGGAGAGCAUGACUUCUGGUUGUCAGUCACUGAAAAAGCCUAGGGGAGCCUACUGAACCGAUAAGAGCACUUGCCGGUAGCAUUCCAGUUGUAAUCGGGAACUUGUCCAUUUCGUGCAUAAUAAAAGGCCAUCCGCCUGUUCAAAAGGAUGGUGAAUAUACCGUAAGUUUAAGAAUGGUUACAGUUAAAAUGGUCUUAAUUCAUUAUAUAGAAUUAAUUAUAGUCAAAUAAUUUGUUAGCACCUUCACUUUACAAACUUGAAUUCUUUCAUCUACUCAUCAGGAGAAUUGGUACAUUUUAUUAAGAAAAAUACAACAGCAUUAAAUGGAGUUCCGUCUAAAAAAAAUCAAUGAACAAUAAAACCAACAAUUGUUUCUUCGCUCAUCUCCAUCCCACAUGAAGGCAAAGUAUUGGUCUUUUCAUAAUUAUAUCUCUGGCGACAGAGACACAUAGUGCCUAACAGAUCAUUCUUCUGACAAAGAAUAGACGUACUCAAGAAAACACCAAGUAUAUCAAAUAUCGAUAUUUUAUUAAUAUUCAAAACAUUUAAAGUCUUUCAAUUUUUAUAUACUAACAAAAUUAUAUCGAGUGAAAUAAUAAACAUUUUUAAAAUAAAGACCCAUGUUUCUAUAAGAAUUCCUCUUCAGUGUUGUGACUUGAACCCAGGGCCCUAUGCAUGCUAGACACUGUGCCACCAUCCAGUGAUGCACUGGAACCUAAGAAGGAUGAUUGGAUUAUCAAGAACGUCUCCUUGAUCGAAUAAAAUCCUCCUGUAAGUCCUGUGCCCACUCAGUUAACAGAGGUGGAGAACGUCCACACGAGAAAUUUAAAAUGAAGAUGGACUAAGUUAAAUCAGAACUAAAUGCAAUUGUUAGAGCACGUUUACAAUUUAAAAAAAAAUUCACUAAAAGAAGCUUCAGCAGUGGUUUCCGCUAAGGCCUCUACUCUCAUAGGUGUCCUUUGCUUUUUUGUUUCUAAUAACUACACAUAAAUAAUGACAUAAUAUACCACAAUCUUUUUCAAAAUAUAAAACAAUAGUCUCUUGCCAUGCACGCACUGGGCCUCAUGAGUUCUCUUAACUGCUCUGUUGCUUGAGGGAAAGGAAUAUGAACACCUUACUCUGUCUUGAACUGGUAUGUUAAUAAGGAGAGGAACCCCUGAUAUCAGAAAAAAUAUCAUUUUCUAGACAAAGUAGAGAUGCUAAACAAGUCAACUAUAAUAUAUAUAUGACAUAUAUUCUAAAAAUAUAUGUACAUUUAAUAUUACAUGCAUUAAUAUGUUUACAUAUUUUUAAAAGAUUUGUAAGCAUGCUCUGACAAUUGUAUAUAUAUUUACAUGCAGAUAAGCCUAACCAUGUGCAUCUAUUCAGACCUGCAUCUACCUAUCUUAUCGAAUGGUUCUUCUUAUAAAAGGCAUACAGUCUGACAAAGGAAACACUAGGCUAUGAAAGAGAGGGAAAAAGACAAAUUGGUCAGGGGAAAGGUAGAUGCCCAGACCUCAUCCUUUCUUGGCUCUUGUCCCUUGUCUUCUUGGAAUCCAUUUUUCCUGGGAUUUUUGCGCUACCUCAGUCACACCCUCACCGAGGUCCCCCACACUGAAAUUCCUUUUUAUGAUGCUGCAUUUGGAGGACUGUGUCAGUAAGUAGCGUUGAGAACUACCUGAGGUAGGAUUUAAAAUGUCUCUAAUGUCUUUCCCUUUUCUGAAGCAUCUACUCUGGCUUCUGAGGGAGCCUUCCUAUGUGACAUAAGUUUCUGGUGUCAGUCAGUCUUACGUUGGUUCCCUACAUCUGAUCGCUGAUGGUCAGGAGGACUGAGCUCAACGCCCUUGUCAACAUAAGGCACAAUGAGUUCAACCACUCUGAGAAGAGACCAGAGCCUGGAAGAGGUGGACAAAAUGUCAAGAGUGGAGCUGGAGAAGCUGUUCAACCAUCAAGAGGAACUGUUACUCCUUCAGAAGGUCCGGAUUUCAAUUCCCAGUACCAAAUCAGGGGGCUUACAAACAACCACCUGUAACUCCAGCUCUAGGGGAAUCUAAAUCCCUCUUCUGGGCUAUCAGUAACACAGGCAAGCGUGUGGUACACAUACAUAUUUGCAAACAAAUACUCAAACACAAAAAAUAAAAAGAAAUCUCUUUUUUUUUAAUGUCAAGACCUAUAAACUGGCUGUCCCACAGGGCUUAGCCUGUGACAGACAGGGUUCUAAGUCUUUCAUGUGCACUAAUUCAUUUUGUUCUCAUGUAAAUCCUGUACACUAGACAUUAUAUAAGUGAGGGCAAUGAGGCACAGAAGAGGUCAAUGUCACACAGCUAAUUAAGAUGGCAGCCAGAGGCUGAACUAGUAAACCAUUAUGGGGGCUGAUCCUAAAUACACUUGCAUCAUUCCUUGCUGCAGAAUUCCAAGACUAGCAAAGGUAAUGAUCGACCCAAUGUAAAGAAUCACCUUAGGCACUGCCUGAGAACAGAAGGUCUAUCAUGGACCAGCUUUUGUACCAUACUGGCCGAAAUCAAAGGUCAAGUUCCAGCUGGUAAAGCAAAUCUAAGACUGACGACACUUAGGACACUGAACCUGCUACCUUAGGCUAUGGUUGAAAGACAGAAACUACAAAGGCAAGGUCUAGGCUCAAUGGAAAGGGCCCACAGCUAGCCGUAGCCGUUAGUCCUCAGAGAUCCUAAGAGUCAAGCUUGUGGGAUAUGGCAGAGUUUUCAGAGAGCGAAAUUGACAAUAAAUUUGAACUAACUUGCUAUUCAAGUGCUAAGCUGAUUGACAAGCUCCAGUAGCCAUGGCUGUCCACAAGAGAACUCCUAAAGUGGCUUACUUCUCAAAUGAGACAUCCCCAUGUAUGCCUCUGUCUAUCUAUACAUAUACAUAUACAUAUACAUAGACAUAUACAUAGACAUAGACAUAGACAUAGACAUAGACAUAUAUAUGUAUGUACAGGUAUAGAUAGAUAGAUAUAGAUAUAGAUAUAGAUAGAUAUAGAUAUAGAUAUAUAGAUAUAUAGAUGACAUAGAUAUAGAUAUAGAUAUAGAUAUAGAUAUAGAUAUAGAUAUAGAUAUAGAUAUAGAUAUAGAUAUAGAUAUAGUGACCAAAGAACUCAUGGUUUGACUUAGGAAAUGCCAAGAUGAGAGCAUAACAUACACCCAGUUUGUUACAACAGCACUAACCACUGCCUUCUUCUCUGAACAGGAGUUUCAGCAAUUGUUAUCUUGAUUUUGUUUCUGUGUUGAUCAGUGGGUUCUGGAGAAUUGGGAGUAUAGACCAUGAGGAGACACAACCAAACCCAGGAUUUGUUCAUGUCUCUGUGAGGGUCUAGACUUGGGGCUGGGAGCAGAGCUUACAGUGACUGUGAGUAACUCUAAUUUUUAGUGAGGACCAGUAGCAUCAUUUUUGCCAGGGAUUUUUUUAAUAAUAUGGGAGAGGGUGUAAAAUGAAAUGUGUGUCUCAAGCAGACAGAACCUAAAAUUCAGCAGAGGGAAGCAGGUUGUUGUUCCUGUUUUGUUUUUUUUUUAUUUUUUUUGUUUGUUUGCUAUCUUGUGUUUCCACUUCUGAUAGUCUGUCCUUGUGGGCUUCUUCAAUCAACACUCUGUGGCUGUAAAGCUGUCCAUCGGCUCUUCUUUGCUCAUUUCUUACAACUGGAGUGAUACUCCAGCCAGUCCAUCCCCUGCCCAGUCAGAUGUGCUGGUUUGAGUAUAAGACCGAAAUAGAAGCAAUUAGAACUUCCUUUGGAGUUACAGACAUUGUGAGUGAUUGGCUAGCUGGGAGCCUCUCCCUUGCUUGUUUAGAGAAUACCCAUUACAGUGGAAGGAAAUGAGGUCAAUAUACUGGUUGUUGUGACAGGGACCUGAAGGGAAGGAGAGAAACUGGAGUGUGACCUCCUUUGAGAUUCAGCUGAGCAUGAAGCCCUGCACACCCAAUCUCAUGAAGGAGUGAAUUCCCCCCUUCUAUUAAAUUAGUUUGCAUUGAGUUUCUACAACGUACCCCCCCAAAAAAAGAUAAGAUACCUUAACUCCUGUAACUACGUCUAAAAAGUCUUCAAAGCACAGAACUUCAUAUUCAUUGCCUAGAGGAACAGUAUAAUGUACUGAGCUUCCCUAAAUUGGUAAUGUAUAAUUUAAAGCGAAUUACAUGGGAUUUUCCUUGUAGCUAAGGAGGCUGAACCAUGUAACUAUGAGAGCUUUCACUCUCAACCUCUUAAGUACGUGACAACUGAGAAUCUAGCUAAAGGCUUCAGGGUGAUACGUAACUGCUCCACAAGAAAACUGAAAUCUUCAUUUUGAAAUAGAAACCUAUUUUAAUAACUUUCUGUAGGUAUAGAAAUUGCUAUUUUAUAUGAAAUGCCAUUAAAAUGAAAAAAUACAGGAAGGAGAGGUAUAUAAUGAUGAUUAGUGAGUUGUUAACAUUGUAUUUAAAAGGGUCUAAUAUUAUGCUACCAGACAUAUAAGAUGAGUGUUAGGAGGCAAGCUACAAAAUGUUUCCAAUACACAUGCCACAUGUAGCAGAGAUUACACAAACCAACCCAGUACUGUUUCUCCUUCCUGGAAGGCACAGAGUGCACAAAUUUACCAUUUGUUUAUUUCUGACUCUACUAGCCACGAUUCUCUGAAUGGACAAAUAAUUUCAGAAUGGUCAAUAUUUAAAACGUGACAGUUAACGAGAGAAAGUACUCACUUGGAUUCAGAAUGACUAUAUAAGAUUUUUUUUCAAACAAUAUGGAAAAUAGGUCUUGAGGAACAAAUGUAUAGAGAGGAGGGAGAAAUGCAGAAGACACAGCAGAACACUACGAUGGAGACCAUGAUGGAAAAGUGAAAAUCCUGGCUCUAUGCAGAAGAGGAAGGAGAAAGAUGUUAAAGUCUGGAUGUGGUGAAUGACUCCAAGGAAACAGUGCUUUCCACAUGCAGCGAGGCUGACGAGCAUGUGAACUCCGAGACUGUGACAGCUUGCGUGAGACCUGCACAAGGUCAAAAAUUGUUGCACAAAGAAGAAGUAGCCACAAAGUCUGACCCCCGAACCAAGAAGCUGUUUGUAAUUGACAUGCUGAGGGUAUGUGUGUGUGGGGGGGAGAUCAGGUUCCUUCAAUGGAGUAUAUUCUUCAUGAGUACAUCAACCAUAUUCAAAUACAGCCCUCAUGGGCUCAGGAAUAGUUGAUCAACAGACAAUGGCCUCCAUGUUUUAUUUUUCUUCUUUUAGGUUUUUUUUUUGUUUUGUUUUGUUUUGUUUUUUCCAGGCAGGGUUUCUCUGUAUAGCCAUGAUUGUCUUGGAACUUGCUCUAUAGAGCAGGCUAGACUUGAAUUCACAGAGAUCCAACUACCUCUGCCUCCUGAGUGCUGAGAUUAAAGGUGUGUGCCAACCCUGCCCGGUAGGGUUGGGUUUUUGUUUUAUUUUGUUGGUUUUGUUUCUUAAUAUCUGCUUUUUGUUUUGUUUUGGUGGGGUUCUCUUGUUGUUGAGAGAAAAAACCCUAAGUUGGGUAGGAAGGGAAAAGGAUCUUUGAGGAGUUGAGAAGAGGGGAAAGAACAUGAUCAAAAUAGGUCGUAUGAAAUUUUUUAAUGAAAAAAAAUUUUUUUAAAUAUCCCAUGUUAUGAAAACAAAGACAAAUAUAUCAAUUUUUAGAAUGCUCCCAUUUAGGAAUCUAAAUUGAAGAAUUGGUAAAGGAGGCAGAAGUGUAUGAAGGAGAAGAUCACCACAGAGCAAGACUCAUGGAGAAAGCAUGGUUGGUUUGAAAGGUCAUGGCAUUUGCUUAUGGACGGGCUUUUGUAACCUUCAAGUCAGUUUGCUAAAGGUGACAUGACACCAUGUGACAAGUAGUAGUAAAACGCAUACACCGUCUACUAGAAAGAAAAAAAAAGGUUGUCUUAGAUUUUUCUGCAUUUGAAAAUGUUCGUUCAUUUUAUUAGCAUGCAUCUGUGCACAUGAGUGAACAUGAGUUGUGGGGUCCUACCUCAGGGCCUUGGGCUCUGUGGUAAGCACUGGUACCCACUGAGCCAUCUCACCAGCCCUGUUUCAGUGUUUGACCCCUGGAUGGAGGCAGAGACUAAGCGCUGCACCUUGACAUCAGACAGGUUUCUAAAGGAGUGUUUAUGAGGAAAGACUUGGAUAUGGCUCAGAAGAAAAGAGAACGUAAGUCGAAUGGAUGGCCUUAAAUAUCUCAAGGAAAAGCAUCAUCCACAAGAAGGGUCCUGCCAAGAGCAUGGAAAAUGUCAGGAAUACUUGCCAUAGAAAAGAAUCCACAGUUCUGGUUCUUGUUUGUUUACAACUGGAGGACUUUUGAUAGAUGACGCAUAUGUGUUCGAUGGCACGUUUAGAUUUGAACCCAUAAUCAUAUGCUCUACAUGCAUUUCUCUGUGUUCGCUAUCAGGAAAAUGAGUAUUAAAAUGGGUCUCUUGCUGCAGUGAGCUGCAGUAUUUAUAAGCGUGUUUGACAAUCUUAUGAUAACGAACAUUUCGUGUGAACUACUCCACAAAUAAGGUAGGUGUGAGAGAUUUACAAGGUCCCUUUAGCUUUCUGUAACUUCACCUCGUUCUGUCCUGAACAAUAAUCCACGUCAGGAUGCAAUGAAAGAGAAAAGAUUUGAUUUUUAGAGAGACUCUACCAUCUACUCUGAGUUCUUGGUAUCUUUUUAAUGUAUUGCAAGGUUCUGCCUUAUAACUCUCAAUAGUCAAGAACAAAACUUACUUAUCUCAAUCUGUGGCAUCAUUACUGAGAACUAUCAUUUCAAAGAUUCACCAGUGAUAUGCAAACGCUAAAUGGCAACAAAACACCAACAAAGAAUGUUUAACCUGUUCUUGUUGGCUUGGUUGUUUGAAGUUUAGCUUUUAAUGGAACAAAUAUGUCAACUUCUGCUGAAUGAGUGUGUGUACACAUAUGUUCAAGUAUGAGUGUGCGUAUGAAUGAGUGUGUAUGCAUGUCCAAGAUUCAACUUUAGGUGUGGUUCUUUAGGACGAAUCUACCUUACUUUUGAUACAGGAUCUCACAUGGGCCCCAGGUUGGCCAAUUAGGUCAGGGUAGCUGACGAGAAAACCCUAGGGAUUUGCCUGUCUGAGCUUCUGGAGCCUUGGGAUUAUAAAUCAUGUCACCAUGGGUCCUAAAGAUCGUAGCUCGGUUCCUCAUGCUUCACAGCAAGCAUUCACUGACCCAGCAGCCCAGCCCCAACAUUUUGUUUUCUAUAUGCUGUGUUUAUGAGUAGUGAGUUAGUGGCAAUGUUUUUAUGCUUUUGUUUUUGGUAAGACUAUUUUCUAAUUCUAGGAAGGCUGGUCCUUUGCUAUUGGACUACAAGGGAAACCAUUCAGCCAGAAUCUAAAAAUUCUCUUUCACCGAAGAACCACAAACAUGGACUUGACCAACCCCAACUAUAAUGUCCAAGGAAAACUGGGUGCUGGUGUGAAGAUUUUUCUUGAGGGAAAUAAAAGAAUAAACAUAAUCAAGUAGGACAUUCCAAGACGUGCCAAAUACCUUUUGUGCUGUGUGAGUCCAUGGAUAGCCCAGAUAAUUCUUGGUUGCUUUAGGUACUGCCACUAAUAAACCUGAACUUUUGUGCAGUAAGUGAUAGAAACUAUGAAGAAAGCCACUGUGCUUCUGGCUUCUGGGAGGACAGAGUCCCAGAAGACAAUAUGCUAAUUCUGCAGAGCUACCCUUUCAUUACUUCCUAUGAGUUGCUGGAAAUAGUUUUCACAUUAUCCUCUAAUGUGCAUCUCUUCAGACAUGUUAUAGUGCUUUAUGUGUGGAAAUGUUUUAAGAUAAAAUUCCUGUUACAUUAGAGCGUGUAUUGAAUGUAAUUUAAGCUUCUUCUAAUAGCUCAAGGGUUAACUCAAUACAUUGAAUGCUCUCCGUUCAGUAACUGGAAAUGUGUGAGGUGUAUUGACAGAAAGGUGAAUAUGACACCUCCUUUCUCCAUGGGGAACAGAGAACAGAGGAAAUAUGACAGUAAAAAAAUGCAUAUUAUAUGAAAGAAAAAUUUUAAAAUACAUAGAUAUAAGUCCAAAAGCAAUAUGGCAGAGCUGCAGGAGUCAUUAACCCUUCAAGGAAAAAUGCCGAGGAUAUGUAAUUCUAAAUAAAACCAACAGCCACUCUCUAAUUCGGUGAGUGAAGUUAAUACCCAAAGUCUUCUUUUAAAAAAAAUCUAUAAAAUCAAAGAUAAAAUCACCUAAUAUGAUUGAAGGGGUGUGGGAUAUAUUGGUACUUUAAGGGUGCUUAUGAAGUUCUGGAAUUAUGACUAUCGCCAUUCUUAGAAAACACUGCUAACCAAAAGAGAAAAUAAUAGAUAGUGUUUGGCAUCAGGUGCACCUUGGAAGGUUUAAGUCUGGAGAUGUCCUAAUGAGGGCUUCGACGUUGUGUGCUUGUACAGUAAUCAACCAAUAAUGCACAGCACUGAGGCAUAGAAAGAUCAGAGGACCAAUCAGAGCUGGGCAGUGUAAGCAGCAUCUAACAUGAGGGCAAUGAUGUUAAUGUAGUUAGAGUUUUUCAGCCCCCAAGGAUACAGUGGAUUCAGGUAAAGAGAAUAUCAUUUCCUGGUGAUAACACAAAAGACUAGACCAUACUCUUAGCCCUCUAAUAAUUCUUCAUCAUGAAAUAUUGCUGCCAAAAAUCCUUGCAGAAUCUGAUCAGUCCUUUAUGUCUAGUUUCAAACUUAUAAGAACAGAGCGGGUAGGGACAGGAAAACAACAUGAUAAAGCCAUCUUAGUAAGGGGAUCUGACCAGCAAAAUCCAGCCUCUAGGAAGCUCAACAGGGCAACAAUCACAACAACAAACACAAACACAUCUCAAUAGAAGAGAGAGAGAGAGGAGAAAGAAAAUAUAUUGACUCAAAGAGACUUAGGGUACAUAUCAACAAAUUACAGCAUAUAGAUGAGAUUUAGACAAAGACAAGUAUGAAACAAGUUAAUUGGGUAAUUUUUAGAUGUGAUUACAGAUUUAACACUUUUAAAAAAGUCUAUCUAUUGAAGACAUAUAUAGAGGGUCAAAUGUUUACUAAUAAAAUAUGAUAUCCAUAUAACUAUUGACUUCACAAUAGUCUACUUAGGAGAGGACAUUCAUGAGCCCAAGUUAUCCAAGAUGAUCUUUAGUGGUAUAAAAUUGUAUAUACUGGGGGCUGGGGAUUUAGCUCAGUGGUAGAGCGCUUACCUAGGAAGUGCAAGGCCCUGGGUUUGGUCCCCAGCUCCGAAAAAAAGAACCAAAAAAAAUUGUAUAUACUGUAUCAUGUAUUAUUGAUUAAAGAUGAGGUUCUUUUCAGUUGCCUAAGCUGGUCUUCAAAUCCUGGACUCAAGGGAUCCUUCCAUCUCACCUUCCUAAAGAGGACGGAGAAGGAACUCAUGCCAUAGUCCACAGAGAAUGUUAAAGUUCCUGGAGGAACAUUAAGACAAUGAAAAAACAAAGUAAAUAGAAAAGAUUGUAUGGCUUCAAGUCAUCCACGAUGUCGCUCCAGGUUUAUUUCAGGGGAAAUAACUGUUAUCCAAACUCCAAUUGCUCCUUAAGCUUGUUUUGUCAACCAAUAUCAUACUGUGGAAUAAUUUCAGACUUCAGGAACAUUUUGAAGAUAAUAUUUUGUGGAAUGUUGCUGACCUCUCUUUCAAGUCCUGGGCCAGUUUCUUCUACUCUGCAAUACCCACCGUGCUGCUGACCCAACAGAUCUCAUCUUCUUCCACGAAGAAUACAAUCACAAAUGUCUGAAAACACCUGACCUCGGUAUUGGAGGCUAAUUAACUAUGUACCAAAUCAAAACUUCCUUUUAAUUGCCAUCGAAAUAAAUAAAUUAUUCAACAAA